AAAAGGUAAAUAUACACUUAUACUCCUAGGGUUAACUAAUUCAAACCUUAGGGUUUAGAGUUAAGGGGUGAAGAUUUGGGUUUGAGGUUUAAAAUUUUAUAAAAUAGAAAAUAAAUAUUAAAAAUUUGAAAAUAAAAAUUUUAAAAAUAGUUUCAAAAAGUAUUUUCGAAUUACAAAAAGAAAAUUUGAAAAAAAAAUAAAAAAAAAUCGAAAAAAAAUUCAAAAGAAAAAAAAAAUUAUAAAAAAAUUUGAAUUUGAAAACAUAUAGUCUAAAACUAUAAAAAAAUAUUUUUUUUUAUUUUUUAUAUAUCUAGGG
rnacentral:lncRNA from 1 species